UAUAUAUAGGUCUUAAGACCAAAAGGAAAGGGGAACCAGUAUAAUGAAUAAGAUAGAAAGGAGAGAAGGUGUCAGAAACUUUGAACCACCAAUAAUGGUGGCUGUGAAUCCCCUACCCUUAGAGACACACCAACCAUUUGUUUAAGGAACUCUGUAUUUAAUACCGGGGAAGUCACUCUUUUAAUAUUUUAACAAGAACAUUUGUGGUGGGGUCCUGAUAAAACUUUUCCGCGCCGCAUAAUCAAAUCUAAAUAAGGAUCAUAUGUAGCAUAUUAAUUCUCAAUUUCCCAAGUAUACCCAAAGUUCAACCUUUACGAAAUCUCCAUUCGGUGACAAUUGGGAAUAUAACGUGAACCCAAAAUUUCAAGGAAUACAUAUAACAAUGAUGGAAGGUUUAUAUCAGAGAUUUUUGUUGCAUCUCAAUGUUGCCGACAAUGCAUACCGAACGAAAUAUGUUUAUGAGGAGCUUCGAUUCAUUUCUAGGAGGGUCAAUCGCAGCUCCCCAACAGAUAGUGAGAUCUCCAUUGUCGGAAUCAACUCGGCUUCAAUUUCUCAGAAGAGGGAAACCUACCCGGCGACAUUGACGGCGGCGAGUAUACUUUGCAAACUGAUGUCUAAAAGGGAAACACGAAUUCGCCUUGAAGGUCUGAGUCAGCUAGGAAGAAGUUGAACAGCUGCAGUGACGUCGCCGACUAAAGAUAAGUCUCCACUUGGUCCCUCCUUUUUAAUUCAUAACUUGAAAGCUGUUGAAAUUUUCUGAUUUUACCUUGUGCAGCAGUGAGCCUUGAAAUUGAAUAAACUUUAUUCUGUAUGGUCUAUUUUUAGAAGGUAUUUGAUUAAAUGUCUUGUAUACAAUAAAUCUAUAUUGUUAUGAAUUCUGAAUGUGCUUUGUGUGAAUGAUGGAAAUUUGUGUUACUGAACAUGUUUGAUUGCUUAAAAAGAAUCACUCUAUGAUGAGUUCAAAUAUCCCAACAAUGGAAGUUUCAAGUGAGAGACAUUGGUAGUACCACAAUCGAGAGUGUCAAUAAGCCUGGAAUUUUACCGGAGGCCACAGAUCGGUGAAGAAAGGAUUGUGCAAAAUUAUAGGGAUCCUAGAAGAAACUGAGCAGAAUUUCAUCAAUGAAGAUUCAAUCCGGAAACUCAACCCAAUUAACCUCUCAUGCAAAUCAAAGCUUACAAUCUAUGAACGUUGUUAAGGUCACACAUCCACCAUCUCGACGUUUUCGGUAACAUUAUGUCACGCGAAGCUCUACACGACAGCACUGUCGGUGACAAUAGCUUUAUUCAAUUAGUGAUUAGGAUCACUUGAUUCAGCAACUAUAAGUAGAGUGACUCCCGGAAUGUAAUGAAGGGUAUGCAGCAUACAAUUCUGAAAGGUAUGCCCAUGAUUUUGCCCGCCGUGUAAGCCAACAUUGCAACUGCUGAAGAAUGAACCGAGAACUUGAACAUGGCAUUGGAGACGCAGUCGUGUAUGGUGACUUUGGCCAAACUCCUAAUUCGAUGUUAUAUUAAUACUGGUUCAGAACUUAGCUCAAACUACACCGCUGCCCGUAGUAACUGCGGUAACGAUGGCUUUACGACAAAAGUUGCUGAACUUUAUCCAAAAUGUAAUGUGCCUAGUUUUUUGGUUUGUUAAGAAAGUGAAAAUAUCUGACAGAGUGAAGGAAGAAGUUGAACUUUUCGUAGCAUCCUAUCCAUAUUUCAAUGAAAUGCUUGUUGUGGAAGAACUUUACAGAGAAGUUGUCUUGAACACUGAUCAAAAACAGAUUAUUGUUAAUGGAGAACUCGACCGAAUCAGAUCUGAGAGCUAUCCGGGUCCUUGGAAGAUCCUGAGAAGAAUGGGGAUAGAAUUUUUAAUGCAGAAAUUGUGACUGCUCAUACUCGAGAUGGAAAUAGCCUUGGCAUUAGUCGAGGGAGCGUUGGAAUGUGUGCUAGUCAUGAAGCUGAAAUCCAUGGGGCAGAUAUAUUUGUACACAGAACACAUAAUGUUGUUGGUGAAAUGGAACACAGUGUAGAAGAUGCUGAAAACCAGGGACAGACUGGUGAAUCUGUUCCAAAUCCAGGUCUAAUGGCUGAGGUCAUCUCAGAAUAUAUAAACAGAGACUAUCAUGUUGGUGAUAGCCAGGAGAUGAUGUCUCACUCUACAGAAAGGGCAGACAAUGGGUCAAAAAUUGGUUGUUAUGCAAAGGCAGAAUCUAUUUAAAGUGGUAAAAAGAUUAGUCAAAGCUGCAAAUUUCCUCCUGCUAGUAGUAGUAGUUCAUCCCAAUCUUGCAAUGCCAUUAUUUAUUCAGACGGUGGAAAAAAUAAGGAGUCAUUACAGGAUGGACAUGGAACUACUACGCAUAAGGUUAAAAGACACAAAUCGCCCACAAAAGAUCGAAAAGACGUCUCAUAGGUGUAAAAAGAAGAGCUGAGGAAAUUAAUUUGUAGAGCAGUGAAUCAUUGCAGCAUCAUGGGCUGGAUGUGUUUCAACAUUUACUAAGAGAUUCAAUUUCUAAUAGAACUUCAUGUGUCAGGGCGAUGCUUAAUUUUCUUCUGAAUUGGUUUUGCCAAGAGGAUAAUGACACGGUGAUAUACUAUACCCACCAAUGGCUUGAAUUAACUGGGCAAUCUGAAAUAUCACACCGUGGGCAAAAUAAUGGACAUAUUGUGAUGAAGAAACUUUUUAAGGUUUGUGCGAUAGUUUGUACCAAAUAAUACAUAGGCUAAACCAGUUCAUGUGGCGACUAUAUGGAAUAAUGCAGGGAUAUACCGAGUCACACAGCUAUGGCGCAGGUCUUAAAAGUUUGCUGACUUGCAAGUUUUGAAAGACAAACUACAUGUCUUCUUGAUAACUUCUUCAUUCAAUCCUAGGAGUUCACUUGCAAUUGUCCGAUUAAUUAAUUGGCGGUCUUCGGCGGAAAUUGGAAUGAAUGGCGAUGGAUGAAAUUAUUUAGUUGAUGUAGAUGAUUGAAUUAAAGUUCAUCCCAACCUUCUAGAAGGGGCUCCGUGACAAAAUUGCAAUGACGACCCUGUUGUGGAGGAGAUACACUUCUUAAAUGGAGAUCGAAUCCGAAUUUCUAUCCGACAGAACUAUGGAUGGCGGUAGCUUCUAUGCACAUAAGUUUUCCGGAAUAGAAUAUUCAUCUCCGGAGGAUAUUGAGUCUAUGGAUACAACUUACAAGCAUGUAAAACUGCAGGUCAAAUCCACAAAGGCGAUGCACUUGCGACUGAUAUGCAAAUAACAAUCAAGGCUAUAUAUCUUACAAUUAUUUUAGCAGGAUGUGCUAUGGUAUCUAUAACUGAUAGAUUUGCACCAAAAGAGGGAGAUUACACAAGCAGCUGGGAAAUGCCAUAAAAUAAUGCAAAGUUUACCGUCAGAGCCAAAAAGGGAAGGUAAACGGGAAUGUCUUCGUCAGUGAAGCCUUAACCAUGAUUCACGAGCAGUUCUGUUAUAGGAGGCUAUAGCUCAACAGAAGGUUACUGAAACAGAACAAUGCAUUGAUUUUAUUUAUGUAGUUGUUUAUACUCGUGUUAUACUUUAGUACUGGUCAUUGGACAAGUUUUUUGGCUAAUGAAAAAUUAUUUGUUUUGUACUAUGAAGCACAGUGUCCGACACGGAUACUCCGACACCGAUAAUGUUAAAAUAUAGGACACCGAUACCGUUAUAUAUAAGAGAGUAUUUGAACUUUA